AUACCUGCCUGUCACGCAGGGGGUCGCGGGUUCGAGUCCCGUCCGUUCCG
rfam:Raoultella planticola strain GCSL-DIFS-295 CFSAN029441_contig1510, whole genome shotgun sequence.